rnacentral:rRNA from 1 species
AUUGAACGCUGGCGGCAUGCUUUACACAUGCAAGUCGAACGGUAACAGGCCGCAAGGUGCUGACGAGUGGCGAACGGGUGAGUAAUGCAUCGGAACGUGCCCAGUCGUGGUGGAUAACUACUCGAAAGAGUAGCUAAUACCGCAUACGAUCUAUGGAUGAAAGCGGGGGACCGCAAGGCCUCGCGCGAUUGGAGCGGCCGAUGUCAGAUUAGGUAGUUGGUGGGGUAAAGGCUCACCAAGCCAACGAUUUGUAGCUGGUCUGAGAGGACGACCAGCCACACUGGGACUGAGACACGGCCCAGACUCCUACGGGAGGCAGCAGAGGGGAAUUUUGGACAAUGGGCGCAAGCCUGAUCCAGCAAUGCCGCGUGCAGGAAGAAGGCCUUCGGGUUGUAAACUGCUUUUGUACGGAACGAAACGGCUCUGGUUAAUACCCGGGGCUAAUGACGGUACCGUAAGAAUAAGCACCGGCUAACUACGUG